CCUACGGGUGGCUGCAGUGGGGAAUAUUGGACAAUGGGGGGAACCCUGAUCCAGCCAUGCCGCGUGUGUGAAGAAGGCCCUCGGGUGGUAAAGCACUUUCAGUGAGGAAGAACGCCUGGUGGUUAAUACCCAUCAGGAAAGACAUCACUCACAGAAGAAGCACCGGCUAACUCCGUGCCAGCAGCCGCGGUAAUACGGAGGGUGCGAGCGUUAAUCGGAAUUACUGGGCGUAAAGCGCGCGUAGGUGGCUUGAUAAGCCGGUUGUGAAAGCCCCGGGCUCAACCUGGGAACGGCAGCCGGAACUGUCAAGCUAGAGUGCAGGAGAGGAAGGUAGAAUUCCCGGUGUAGCGGUGAAAUGCGUAGAGAUCGGGAGGAAUACCAGUGGCGAAGGCGGCCUUCUGGACUGACACUGACACUGAGGUGCGAAAGCGUGGGUAGCAAACAGGAUUAGAUACCCCUGUAGUC
rnacentral:rRNA from 1 species